AUUGAACGCUGGCGGUAUGCUUAACACAUGCAAGUCGAACGGAAACGAUACUAGCUUGCUAGUAGGCGUCGAGUGGCGGACGGGUGAGUAACGCGUAGGAAUCUGCCUGAUAGUGGGGGAUAGCCCGGAGAAAUUCGGAUUAAUACGGCAUAAUCUAUUCGUAGUAAAGUGGGGGACUUUCGAGCCUCACGAAAUCAGAUGAGCCUGCGUAAGAUUAGCUUGUUGGUAGGGUAAAAGCCUACCAAGGCGACGAUCUUUAGCUGGUCUGAGAGGAUGAUCAGCCACAUCGGGACUGAGACACGGCCCGAACUCCUACGGGAGGCAGCAGUGGGGAAUAUUGGACAAUGGGGGCAACCCUGAUCCAGCAAUACCGCGUGUGUGAAGAAGGCCUGAGGGUUGUAAAGCACUUUCAAUUGUGAAGAAAAGUUAACGGUUAAU
rnacentral:rRNA from 1 species